rnacentral:rRNA from 1 species
GACGAACGCUGGCGGCGUGCCUAAUACAUGCAAGUCGAACGCUGAAGAGAGGAGCUUGCUCUUCUUGGAUGAGUUGCGAACGGGUGAGUAACGCGUAGGUAACCUGCCUUGUAGCGGGGGAUAACUAUUGGAAACGAUAGCUAAUACCGCAUAACAAUGGAUGACACAUGUCAUUUAUUUGAAAGGGGCAAUUGCUCCACUACAAGAUGGACCUGCGUUGUAUUAGCUAGUAGGUGAGGUAAUGGCUCACCUAGGCGACGAUACAUAGCCGACCUGAGAGGGUGAUCAGCCACACUGGGACUGAGACACGGCCCAGACUCCUACGGGAGGCAGCAGUAGGGAAUCUUCGGCAAUGGGGGCAAACCUGACCGAGCAACGCCGCGUGAGUGAAGAAGGUUUUCGGAUCGUAAAGCUCUGUUGUAAGUCAAGAACGGGUGUGAGAGUGGAAAGUUCACACUGUGACGGUAGCUUACCAGAAAGGGACGGCUAACUACGUG